rnacentral:tRNA from 1 species
UGCUUGGGUAGCUCAGUUGGUAGAGCACUUGCCCGUGAAUGGCAAUGGUCCCGAGUUCGAGUCUCGGUCCGGCAA